AUUGAACGCUGGCGGCAGGCCUAACACAUGCAAGUCGAACGGUAGCACAGAGAGCUUGCUCUCGGGUGACGAGUGGCGGACGGGUGAGUAACGUCUGGGAAACUGCCCGAUGGAGGGGGAUAACUACUGGAAACGGUAGCUAAUACCGCAUAACGUCGCAAGACCAAAGUGGGGGACCUUCGGGCCUCACACCAUCGGAUGUGCCCAGAUGGGAUUAGCUGGUAGGUGGGGUAAUGGCUCACCUAGGCGACGAUCCCUAGCUGGUCUGAGAGGAUGACCAGCCACACUGGAACUGAGACACGGUCCAGACUCCUACGGGAGGCAGCAGUGGGGAAUAUUGCACAAUGGGCGCAAGCCUGAUGCAGCCAUGCCGCGUGUAUGAAGAGGGCCUUCGGGUUGUAAAGUACUUUCAGCGGGGAGGAAGGAGGUGAAGUUAAUAACUUCACCGAUUGACGUUACCCGCAGAAGAAGCACCGGCUAACUCCGUGCCAGCCGCCGCCGUAAAAC
rnacentral:rRNA from 1 species